AUGACUGUAGCCUCAGCUGAAAGAAGUUUUUCUAAACUGAAACUACUGAAAAAUUAUUUGAGGUCAACUAUGUUGCAAGAUAGAUUGAAUGGCCUGGCUAUGUGCUGUAUUGAGAAGGAUAUCUUGGACAAUAUUGAUCUUGAUUGUGCCCUUAAUGACUUCACAUCAAGAAAUGCCCGAAGAAACUUUUUUUGA
rnacentral:rRNA from 1 species